rnacentral:rRNA from 1 species
ACGAACGCUGGCGGCGUGCUUAACACAUGCAAGUCGAACGGAAAGGCCCUGCUUGCAGGGUACUCGAGUGGCGAACAGGUGAGUAACACGUGGGUGAUCUGCCCUGCACUUCGGGAUAAGCCUGGGAAACUGGGUCUAAUACCGGAUAGGAGCCAUUUUUAGUGUGAUGGUUGGAAAGUUUUUUCGGUGUAGGAUGAGCUCGCGGCCUAUCAGCUUGUUGGUGGGGUAAUGGCCUACCAAGGCGGCGACGGGUAGCCGGCCUGAGAGGGUGGACGGCCACAUUGGGACUGAGAUACGGCCCAGACUCCUACGGGAGGCAGCAGUGGGGAAUAUUGCACAAUGGGCGCAAGCCUGAUGCAGCGACGCCGCGUGGGGGAUGACGGCCUUCGGGUUGUAAACUCCUUUCGCUAGGGACGAAGCUUUUUGUGACGGUACCUAGAUAAGAAGCACCGGCUAACUACGUG